rnacentral:lncRNA from 1 species
CCCUCGAGCAACCGUGACGUUUCCGUCAGUGUUCAUCCAUAAUAUUUACAAAAUUAUAUUGGAGAUCGUUAGAAUGAUUUGAAUCAACUUGGGUUCACUGUCCACUGAGAACAAUCGUAGCAUUUAUUUCAUUAUGUGAACAUCUUCAAACAUUUUUUUAUAAUAAUAGAUUUUUGUCUUCUGUGUGAUUUUUCCCUGUUUUGUUUUCUUCUUUUUGAAUGCUUCGCAACAAUAUUUUUUUUCAUCUGUGUGACUGCUUCUUUACUGUUAGAUUUACUAUGUCAAUGCUUACCAAAUUUAGAUUUCGUAAGCCAUGAAUUGGGUACACUACUUUUGAAGCAUUUGAAAUGUAGUGAAGCCUUGUUCGUUUUAUCAAUUUCAA